AUACGUAGGUGGCAAGCGUUGUCCGGAUUUAUUGGGCGUAAAGCGCGCGCAGGUGGUUCCUUAAGUCUGUUGUGAAAGCCCCCGGCUCAACCGGGGAGGGUCAUUGGAAACUGGGGAACUUGAGUGCAGAAGAGGAUAGUGGAAUUCCAAGUGUAGCGGUGAAAUGCGUAGAGAUUUGGAGGAACACCAGUGGCGAAGGCGGCUGUGUGGUCGGUAACUGACACUGAGGCGCGAAAGCGUGGGGAGCAAACGGGAUUAGAUACCCUGGUAGGCCACGCCGUAAACGAUGUGUGCUAAGUGUUGGGGGGUUUUCGCCCCUCAGUGCUGCAGCUAACGCAUUAAGCACUCCGCCUGGGGAGAACGGUCGCAAGACUGAAACUCAAAGGAAUUGACGGGG
rnacentral:rRNA from 1 species